rnacentral:antisense_RNA from 1 species
AGUACCCUCUGGAAGGGCCUGCGUGGCAAGGAACUGAUGUUUCCAGCCAGCAGCCAGCAAGAACUGCAAGCCUUGUGAAUGAGCUUGGAAGCAGAUCCUCCCCUCACUCAAGCAGUGAUAUGACAACAGCCUGAGACCCAGAGUUUUAUGGAUACUUCAAAAAUCAAGAAAGUAUAAGAAGAUAGUAAAGAAUGUUCCUCUCAGCCACGCUGCAUUCACCCAUUUCCCACCCCAACCUGCAAAAAGUAACCGCUGGCUGGGCCCGGUGGCUCACACCUGUAAUUCCAGCAUCUUGGGAGGCCAAGGUGAGCAGAUCACUUGAGCCCAGGAGUUCAAGACCAGCCUGGGUAACAUGGGGAAACCCCAUCUCUACAAAAAUACCAAAAUUAGCUGGACGUGGUAGAGCACGCCUGUAGUCUCAG